UGGGGAAUAUUGCACAAUGGGCGCAAGCCUGAUGCAGCCAUGCCGCGUGUGUGAAGAAGGCCUUCGGGUUGUAAAGCACUUUCAGCGGGGAGGAAGGCGGUGAGGUUAAUAACCUCACCGAUUGACGUUACCCGCAGAAGAAGCACCGGCUAACUCCGUGCCAGCAGCCGCGGUAAUACGGAGGGUACAAGCGUUAAUCGGAAUUACUGGGCGUAAAGCGCACGCAGGCGGUCUGUCAAGUCGGAUGUGAAAUCCCCGGGCUCAACCUGGGAACUGGAUUCGAAACUGGCAGGCUAGAGUCUUGUAGAGGGGGGUAGAAUUCCAGGGGUAGCGGUGAAAUGCGUAGAGAUCUGGAGGAAUACCGGUGGCGAAGGCGGCCCCCUGGACAAAGACUGACGCUCAGGUGCGAAAGCGUGGGGAGCAAACAGG
rnacentral:rRNA from 1 species